UAAGCAAGUUAUGCACAAGUACCGAAGAUUUAAGUUUUUACGGUAUCUUUUCUUUGUAAAACUUUUUGCGGCAAAUUUCUUAUCAAAACAUACAAGAACAGUCGUUCCUCCGCGAAAAUCACAGCUUGGGUCGGCAGUCAUCGUCCCUCGAUCAAAUAUCAGAAGUUCAGCCCUUGCUUUCGCGGCGAAUUCCGGUCGCCGACGGCUGCCCUAAUUCCCGGCCCACCACCGUCAAGUCUCUACCUCCGGACCUUCUCCCUCUGUCGAAGAUGAUUCCCAGGCCAAUCCACAUCACACUCUCCCUCUAAGCUGCCUUCACGGAACUGAAGAGGUAGCUUCUUUUCUCGCCAUUUCCUCCUUCUUCUUCUUCAACUUGGAGAAGAAGCGGGCACUGCCAACAAGUGAUCGGUAAACGGCUUAUUUUAUGCUCUACGUUCUACGGGCUCGCCAUUGCUGAUCACCGAUUAUCUCCGAGCGUGGCCGUGACGGGUGAGGUCCGGCUGGAUAUCCUCUGCCUACCGUUCAAGUUGCUCUCGGUCUCCGUCAAUUCAUCCCCGUGCAAAUUGGGUCUUACUUUCAUUCAAUACCAGUUCCAGGACUUUUAUUCUAAGCACUGAUGAUUGGAGAUGGAAAGAUGUAUUGAUGGAAGCUUCAAUGAAGGGCUUGAAAAAGAUGCCAUAGGCAGAGAACCAAAGUAUGCAAGCAACGCUAACCAGUGGACUCCGUUGUACGGCAGCAAGACUGCAAAAACAUCUCCAAAUUUUGUGGCAAGCCCUCACACAGAAAUGGGGGGUACACGAGUUGCAUGAAGCUUCUGAAAAUGGAUUUUCCCCAGUUCACCGGCGAAGACCCACUCAGUUAGGUCUUUUGGGCAGAGCCUUCUAGUUUAGGGCAUACCACAAGAGACAAGGGUAGCACAUGCCCAGUUUCUGUAUUUGCUUCACUACAUGAAACCAAAUACCGUCCAAGCUAAUCCAAGCUAUUUUUUUUUAUUUUUGAGUAAGCUUAUCCAUUGAGAUCCUACUUGUGAUGGAAACUUCAAUGAAGAGCUUGAAAUAAUAUUUCACUAUUGGAGUCU